rnacentral:rRNA from 1 species
AACGAACGCUGGCGGCAGGCUUAACACAUGCAAGUCGAGCGCCCCGCAAGGGGAGCGGCAGACGGGUGCGUAACGCGUGGGAACGUACCUUUUGGUUCGGAACAACUCCGGGAAACUGGAGCUAAUACCGGAUAAGCCCUAACGGGGAAAGAUUUAUCGCCGAAAGAUCGGCCCGCGUCUGAUUAGCUAGUUGGUGAGGUAACGGCUCACCAAGGCGACGAUCAGUAGCUGGUCUGAGAGGAUGAUCAGCCACACUGGGACUGAGACACGGCCCAGACUCCUACGGGAGGCAGCAGUGGGGAAUAGUGGACAAUGGGCGCAAGCCUGAUCCAGCCAUGCCGCGUGAGUGAUGAAGGCCUUAGGGUUGUAAAGCUCUUUUGUCCGGGAAGAUAAUGACUGUACCGGAAGAAUAAGCCCCGGCUAACUUCGUG